AAUACAUGAGGAAAAAUAAUGCGUACUUGUUUCCCGAUCCAGCAGUUUCCUGGAUUGCUAUGAUUGUAAGGCACCCAAGGGGUUAAAAACAUACUGGCCUCUCUCUCACCAUUUUGACUUCACAUGAAAUACAUUUGGAAUGGCUUGUAACAUAGAUUGUGGGAAGUUAAUCUCUGAACAUAGGCCUACUUUAACCUUUAAAUUAUUUCUUAAUCUGAUUUACUGAACAAUAACAUUACGUGUUCUGUGUUUCAUUCAGAGUUUAAAUUCUCCAAGAUGGUCUAGGCUUUUGGAGCUCAGACCUGCGUUAAUACAUUCAGAAAUAGAUAGGCCGCGUUUUGAAGUGUCUGUCCUAUAGCAGGCCGCGUUUUGACGUGUCUGUCCAAUAGCAGGCCGCGUUUUGACGUGUCUGUCCAAUAGCAGGCCGCGUUUUGACGUGUCUGUCCAAUAGCAGGCCGCGUUUUGACGUGUCUGUCCAAUAGCAGGCCGUGUUUUGAAGUGUCUGUCCAAUAGCAGGCCGUGUUUUGACGUGUCUGUCCAAUAGCAGGCCGCGUUUUGACGUGUCUGUCCAAUAGCAGGCCGUGUUUUGACGUCUCUGUCCUAUAGCAGGCCGUGUUUUGAAGUGUCUGUCCUAUAGCAGGCCGUGUUUUGAAGUGUGUCCAAUAGCAGGCUGUGUUUUGAAGUGUGUCCAAUAGCAUGCCGUGUUUUGAAGUGUCUGUCCAAAAGCAGGCCGUGUUUUGACGUGUCUGUCCAAUAGCAGGCCGUGUUUUGACGUGUCUAUCCUAUAGCAGGCCGUGUUUUGACGUGUCUGUCCAAUAGCAGGCUGUGUUUUGAAGUGUCUGUCCAAUAGCAGGCUGUGUUUUGACGUGUCUGUCCAAUAGCAGGCCGUGUUUUGAAGUGUCUGUCCAAUAGCAGGCUGUGUUUUGAAGUGUCUGUCCUAUAGCAGGCCGUGUUUUGAAGUGUCUGUCCAAUAGCAGGCCGUGUUUUGACGUGUCUGUCCUAUAGCAGGCCGUGUUUUGAAGUGUCUGUCCAAUAGCAGGCCGUGUUUUGACGUGUCUGUCCAAUAGCAGGCUGUGUUUUGACGUGUCUGUCCAAUAGCAUGCCAUGUUUUGAAGUGUCUGUCCAAUAGCAGGCUGUGUUUUGAAGUGUCUGUCCUAUAGCAGGCCGUGUUUUGAAGUGUCUGUCCAAUAGCAGGCCGUGUUUUGAAGUGUCUGUCCAAUAGCAGGCGUGUUUUGAAGUGUCUGUCCUAUAGCAUGCCAUGUUUUGAAGUGUCUGUCCAAUAGCAGGCUGUGUUUUGAAGUGUCUGUCCUAUAGCAGGCCGUGUUUUGAAGUGUCUGUCCAAUAGCAGGCCGUGUUUUGAAGUGUCUGUCCAAUAGCAGGCGUGUUUUGAAGUGUCUGUCCUAUAGCAGGCAGUGUUUUGAUGUGUCUGUCCAAUAGCAGGCCGUGUUUUGAAGUGUCUGUCCAAUAGCAGGCCGUGUUUUGAAGUGUCUGUCCAAUAGCAGCCUUUUUCCAAACUGGGUCCUGGGGAUCCCAAGUGGUGAACAUUUAGUUUUUUGCCGUAGCGCUACUCAGCUGACUUAAAAUAAUCAAUUCAUCAUCAAGCUUUGAUUAUUUGAAUCAGCUGUGGUUUGUGUAGUUCUAGGUAAAAAAAAAAAAAUGUUCAUCCAGUCCCACUCAUGCUGAGGUUUUUCUGAGUGUACUGAUAUAUAAAAGUAUCACGGCCAUUUUUAGAAAGAAAACAGUUUAUAUGCGAAUUGUGCCUAUUGUUCACACACGUGCCCUCUUAUUGGCUGGAAUGGUCCCACCUGAUCUUGCCUCUUCCUGACUGCCUUCCAUGUUUUAAAACAUUUUAUAUUUCGUGGUUAAAGCUGCGACACACUGGUCUGGACAGGAGGCCUUUUGGAAAUGCAGCAUUUGCUUAGAAAUGGAGCCGACACAUUGAUUGGUUCUCUCAACAACAACAACAACAUCAACAUCAACAACAACAUCAACAACAACAACAAGGACUUUGUGUUAUCCAGAUUAACUCAUAGGUCCCACUCACCCAUGCGGGCGCGUUAAAACAGGAAGCACUAAUAAAGCAUUAUAAUGGCAGAGGUUUUCAACCACGACACCUCUAACAAAUUACAACUGAC
rnacentral:lncRNA from 1 species